rnacentral:rRNA from 1 species
CCCGAGAUGAGUUCUCCCUGACCCUUUAAGGGUCCUGAAGGAACGUUGAAGACGACGACGUUGAUAGGCCGGGUGUGUAAGCGCAGCGAUGCGUUGAGCUAACCGGUACUAAUGAACCGUGAGGCUUAACCU